rnacentral:rRNA from 1 species
GUAGGUGGCAAGCGUUGUCCGGAAUUAUUGGGCGUAAAGCGCGCGCAGGUGGGUUCUUUAAGUCUGAUGUGAAAGCCCCCGGGCUCAACCGGGGAGGGUCAUUGGAAACUGGGGAACUUGAGUGCAGGAGAGGAAAGUGGAAUUCCACGUGUAGCGGUGAAAUGCGUAGAUAUGUGGAGGAACACCAGUGGCGAAGGCGACUUUCUGGCCUGUAACUGACACUGAGGCGCGAAAGCGUGGGGAGCAAACAGGAUUAGAUACCCUGGUAGUCCACGCCGUAAACGACGAGUGCUAAGUGUUGGGGGGUUUCCGCCCCUCAGUGCUGCAGCUAACGCAUUAAGCACUCCGCCUGGGGAGUACGGUCGCAAAGACUG